CAGUAGCCGCGGGAAUACGGAGGGUGCAAGCGUUAUCCGGAUUUAUUGGGUUUAAAGGGUCCGUAGGCGGACUUAUAAGUCAGUGGUGAAAGCCUGUCGCUUAACGAUAGAACUGCCAUUGAUACUGUAAGUCUUGAGUAUAUUUGAGGUAGCUGGAAUAAGUAGUGUAGCGGUGAAAUGCAUAGAUAUUACUUAGAACACCAAUUGCGAAGGCAGGUUACCAAGAUAUAACUGACGCUGAGGGACGAAAGCGUGGGUAGCGAACAGGAUUAGAUACCCCUGUAGUCCCUGUCUCUUAUAU
rnacentral:rRNA from 1 species